rnacentral:rRNA from 1 species
GUACACGCUGUGACUAGCAUAUCAAUAAGCGGAGGAAAAGAAACUAACAAGGAUUCCCCUAGUAACGGCGAGUGAAGCGGGAAGAGCUCAAAUUUGAAAUCUUAAAGGGUUUCCCUCUACGAAUUGUAGUUUAAAGAAGUGUUUUCUGUUGAGGUUUUGGUAAAAGUUCUUUGGAAUAGGACAUCAUAGAGGGUGAGAAUCCCGUAUUUGACCUUUACUUUCAACUUUGUGAUACACUUUCAAAGAGUCGGAUUGUUUGGGAAUGCAGUCCAAAAUGGGUGGUAAAUUUCAUCUAAAGCUAAAUAUUGGCGGAGAGACCGAUAGCGAACAAGUACCGUGAGGGAAAGAUGAAAAGAACUUUGAAAAGAGAGUUAAACAGUACGUGAAAUUGUCAAAAGGGAAGCGUUUGACACCAGUGUUGUUUUUCUGAAAAUCAAUUAAAGAACUGUUUAUGCUAAGCUGUUUAGACUUUAUCAGCUAUCUGUUUAGUUUUGAGCUUUUCUUUAAUGCACUUUUCAGUUAACAAGUCAACAUCAAUUUCUUUUGCUGUAAAAAAGCUUGAGGAAGGUGGCUUGAGAUUCGUCUUAAGUGUUUAUAGCCUCUUGCCUAUGCAGUCGGAGAGAUUGAGGUCUGCAGCGUAGAUCCUUCGGGGCUAAAUGCAUUUGUGCUAAGUUAUAGCAUUUUAUAGACAACUUGUUGACUAUGAUUUGUCUUGUAGCUUACUCGCUUAUGUUAUUUUACCUACGCUUAGGAUGUUGAAGAUGUAGCACAUCAU